rnacentral:rRNA from 1 species
AAAUUGAAGAGUUUGAUCAUGGCUCAGAUUGAACGCUGGCGGCAGGCCUAACACAUGCAAGUCGAACGGUAACAGGAAGCAGCUUGCUGCUUUGCUGACGAGUGGCGGACGGGUGAGUAAUGUCUGGGAAACUGCCUGAUGGAGGGGGAUAACUACUGGAAACGGUGGCUAAUACCGCAUAACGUCGCAAGACCAAAGAGGGGGACCUUCGGGCCUCUUGCCAUCAGAUGUGCCCAGAUGGGAUUAGCUUGUUGGUGAGGUAACGGCUCACCAAGGCGACGAUCCCUAGCUGGUCUGAGAGGAUGACCAGCCACACUGGAACUGAGACACGGUCCAGACUCCUACGGGAGGCAGCAGUGGGGAAUAUUGCACAAUGGGCGCAAGCCUGAUGCAGCCAUGCCGCGUGUAUGAAGAAGGCCUUCGGGUUGUAAAGUACUUUCAGCGGGGAGGAAGGUGUUGUGGUUAAUAACCGCAGCAAUUGACGUUACCCGCAGAAGAAGCACCGGCUAACUCCGUGCCAGCAGCCGCGGUAAUACGGAGGGUGCAAGCGUUAAUCGGAAUUACUGGGCGUAAAGCGCACGCAGGCGGUCUGUCAAGUCGGAUGUGAAAUCCCCGGGCUCAACCUGGGAACUGCAUUCGAAACUGGCAGGCUUGAGUCUUGUAGAGGGGGGUAGAAUUCCAGGUGUAGCGGUGAAAUGCGUAGAGAUCUGGAGGAAUACCGGUGGCGAAGGCGGCCCCCUGGACAAAGACUGACGCUCAGGUGCGAAAGCGUGGGGAGCAAACAGGAUUAGAUACCCUGGUAGUCCACGCCGUAAACGAUGUCUACUUGGAGGUUGUGCCCUUGAGGCGUGGCUUCCGGAGCUAACGCGUUAAGUAGACCGCCUGGGGAGUACGGCCGCAAGGUUAAAACUCAAAUGAAUUGACGGGGGCCCGCACAAGCGGUGGAGCAUGUGGUUUAAUUCGAUGCAACGCGAAGAACCUUACCUGGUCUUGACAUCCACAGAACUUUCCAGAGAUGGAUUGGUGCCUUCGGGAACUGUGAGACAGGUGCUGCAUGGCUGUCGUCAGCUCGUGUUGUGAAAUGUUGGGUUAAGUCCCGCAACGAGCGCAACCCUUAUCCUUUGUUGCCAGCGGUCCGGCCGGGAACUCAAAGGAGACUGCCAGUGAUAAACUGGAGGAAGGUGGGGAUGACGUCAAGUCAUCAUGGCCCUUACGACCAGGGCUACACACGUGCUACAAUGGCGCAUACAAAGAGAAGCGACCUCGCGAGAGCAAGCGGACCUCAUAAAGUGCGUCGUAGUCCGGAUUGGAGUCUGCAACUCGACUCCAUGAAGUCGGAAUCGCUAGUAAUCGUGGAUCAGAAUGCCACGGUGAAUACGUUCCCGGGCCUUGUACACACCGCCCGUCACACCAUGGGAGUGGGUUGCAAAAGAAGUAGGUAGCUUAACCUUCGGGAGGGCGCUUACCACUUUGUGAUUCAUGACUGGGGUGAAGUCGUAACAAGGUAACCGUAGGGGAACCUGCGGUU